UCAACCUGAGAGUUUGAUCCUGGCUCAGAGCGAACGCUGGCGGCAGGCCUAACACAUGCAAGUCGAACGGACCCUUCGGGGUUAGUGGCGGACGGGUGAGUAACACGUGGGAACGUGCCUUUAGGUUCGGAAUAGCUCCUGGAAACGGGUGGUAAUGCCGAAUGUGCCCUUCGGGGGAAAGAUUUAUCGCCUUUAGAGCGGCCCGCGUCUGAUUAGCUAGUUGGUGGGGUAAUGGCCCACCAAGGCUACGAUCAGUAGCUGGUCUGAGAGGAUGACCAGCCACAUUGGGACUGAGACACGGCCCAAACUCCUACGGGAGGCAGCAGUGGGGAAUCUUGCGCAAUGGGCGAAAGCCUGACGCAGCCAUGCCGCGUGUAUGAUGAAGGUCUUAGGAUUGUAAAAUACUUUCACCGGUGAAGAUAAUGACUGUAGCCGGAGAAGAAGCCCCGGCUAACUUCGUGCCAGCAGCCGCGGUAAUACGAAGGGGGCUAGCGUUGCUCGGAAUUACUGGGCGUAAAGGGAGCGUAGGCGGACAUUUAAGUCAGAGGUGAAAUCCCGGAGCUUAACUUCGGAACUGCCUUUGAUACUGGGUGUCUUGAGUGUGAGAGAGGUAUGUGGAACUCCGAGUGUAGAGGUGAAAUUCGUAGAUAUUCGGAAGAACACCAGUGGCGAAGGCGACAUACUGGCUCAUUACU
rnacentral:rRNA from 1 species